rnacentral:rRNA from 1 species
AUUAAAUAUAAUUCAGGUAGUAUUAUAAAAAUAAACCUACUAUAUUUGGUGGUUAUAAUUUAUUGGAGAAACUCGUUUUUUAAUCGACAAUACUCGUUAAAUUUAACUUAAAUUAAUAAUAUUUAUACCGCUGUUACAAGAUACAAAUUAAAUUUUCAAUCAAAAUUAAUACUUUUAAAAAAUCAAGUCAAGGUGAAGUCUAUAUUUAAGUAAAAAUAAGUUACACUUAAAAAAAAUUUAAGGAUUAUAAUUAAAAUAAUUUUUUAAAAAAGAAUCCACAAUUAUAACAUAAUUAAAAAUUAUAUUAGAAAUAUUAAAACUAUAAUAC